rnacentral:rRNA from 1 species
UACGUAGGGUGCAAGCGUUAAUCGGAAUUACUGGGCGUAAAGCGUGCGCAGGCGGUUUUGUAAGUCUGUCGUGAAAUCCCCGGGCUCAACCUGGGAAUUGCGAUGGAGACUGCAAGGCUAGAAUCUGGCAGAGGGGGGUAGAAUUCCACGUGUAGCAGUGAAAUGCGUAGAGAUGUGGAGGAACGACCGAUGGCGCAAGGCAGCCCCCUGGGUCAAGAUUGACG